AGAAGACCAGAUACUAUUCUGAAGAACUACACAGAGGGAGACAACAAUGUCAUCACUAAAAGUACCACACACACGGCCUGUGUCCUUGUCUACUGGUUCUUGUGUGAUAAUCACAGGGACACCGAUCAUCCCUUUCGUCAUGGACCCACAGCUGCAGGUGGAUUUCCAUACCGAGAUGAAGGAAGACUCAGACAUCGCCUUCCAUUUCCGAGUGUACUUUGGUCAUUGGGUGGUCAUGAACAGCCGCGUGAAUGGGGCUUGGCAGUAUGAGGUGACAUGCCACAAUAUGCCCUUUCAGGAUGGUAAACCAUUUAACCUGUGCAUCUCCGUGCUGGCCGAUGAGUACCAGCCGUUCAGAAUAAUAUCCUACGUUUUGCAACACCUGUUUUGUUCCUCCUCUCUGAAAACAUUUGAAUUUCCUUCUUUGCCACCACCAUUACAUCUCUGGGCAACUCCAAGGAGAAACUGGGCCAUCAGCAGUCAUAGUGAAUGGGAGUUAUAGUUCAUGGAACUGAAAUGUAUGCAUUCAAUGAACACUGUCCAGCACUAACCCCAUGGCAGGCCCUGUGCAAGACGCAAGGAUUGAAGUUCAUGAGAGACAGUCCCAGGCCAUAGGGAUCUUCCAGGUGAGAGGAGAGGCUGAGCAAACAGGUUCUGUGAUACACAGGGUGGUAAAACCUCCUUGGAGGAAUGAGAGGAAGCAUUGGAAAUAAAUGAGCAACUGUCUGAAGUAGGCACAAGGGUAAUCUGCAGAGAGAAGUGUGUCUACUGGGUUCUGAUGUAUAAUUAGGGGAUUUCUGGUUGGAUGCUGUAGGCACUAGGGCUGAGUGAGAUGAUGCUGAAAACUUGUUUGAUGGCAUAUUGUAUUUCUGAUGCAUUUUUUUCUUUUGUAGGUAAUGGUAAAUGGCCAAAAUGCUUACAGCUUUCCCCACCGACUCCCACCAUCUUAUGUGAAGAUGGUGCAAGUGUGGAGAGAUGUCUCCCUGACCUCAGUGUCUGUCUGUAAUUGAUGAAAUGAUCACAUUCCUCAUGGUUAAAGAAUCCCUGUUUCUGUGCGACCAUGGCAUUUCCAGAGCCUGCUAACAGAACGAUCACUCCUCACCCCUUCCUCUACACUUGGUCAUUAAAACUUCACCAAAUUUUCCAGAAUCUGGUUCUUACUUUCAUGGAGAAAAAGACAAAGUGGCACAAGGACACAAGUGACACAAGGCCACUGUGAUGUCUGAGAUUACAUAACGAAGACAUCCUUUUAUGUCAGCCCGUACUUUACGUCAGACACUCUGAACCAAAAUUCCUCCUUCAUUGUAGAUGACUCACUCCAGUGAAAUGUUGGGUAGCUGUUUACAACCUCACAGGCAUAAUUGAUUUUGGGGAGAAGCUUUGUAAUUUGAGGAAAGUCAUAUGAAAUGUCUUCAUUCUUGCACUCAUUCUAAGGAUGUUUCCUGUGUCUUAAUACUGUGUCUGGCGUUGUGCAGGAAGCACUGAAAAAGCCGAGGAAAUACUGACCAAGUUUGCACCUGAAAUUUUGUUUUGUUGUUGUUCUUUGAGACAAGUUCUUGCUCUGUCAUUCAGGCUGGACUGCAGUGGCACCAUUAAGGCUCACUGCAGCCUCGACACCCUGGGCUCAAAAAUUCCUCCUGCCUCAGCCCCCCAAGUAGGUGAGACCACAGGUGAGCACCACCAUGGCCAGCUAAUUUCUGCAUGUUUUUUUUGUAGAGAUGGGGUUUUGCCAUGUUGCCCAGGCUGGUGUCGAACUCCUGAAGUCAAGCAAUCCAGCAACCUCGGCCCACCAAAUUGCUGGCAUUACAAGUGUGAGCCCCUGUGCUUGGCCUAUACCUGAAAAUUUCAAUCCAAGCCAUAGUUAGAGAACCACAAGAGUUCAAUAAUUUCCCUCAAAAAAUCCCUUUGUCAUGUUCAAAAGAACUGCCAGAUUUUUCUAUUUUAUGUGGGCAGAAUCCUGGAUCUCCUCUUUGGAAAUAAAUGGUCAUAGUUUUAGAUCGGAAAAUAUGUCAUUUAUUGGUGGAAUGAACACAAUUCAUUCACAUGGACACAGUGAGCCGACCCUGCUUUGCUGCUGCUACCGUUGGCAUUGCAGAACCGGAAACCUCCCCAACACAUAUUCACAUAAAGCAACCAUUUAUUCUGAUGUCUCCCUGCUUUGCAGGUUUACUGGACUCAUGCGGGUGGUAGACACGCAUGUGUGUGGGAGUCACGUUUUCUGAAGGACCUACAGGCUGGGAUCCCAGAGGAUUCUUCACUUAUGUUUGACUCAACACUAAGGGACUUUCAAGAAACCAAAGAAGAAGCUGCCAGGCAUCAUAGAACUUAGCUUUGAAAAUUGGAGAGUGUCACUUUUCUAUGACAUUAUAUUGAUUAAGGACUGGUUCUCAGCAACAAUCGGCUUCACCCUCCACUCUUCCCUUCUUGGAGUUUCUACCAAGAUGGCAGAAUGACAGUCCUUUUCCCUCUAUAAGAGCUGAGAUCACCUGCUUCAUAGCAAACCUGGAGAACCACUUAGCAGAAACAACAUGUUACCUACAAACUAAUGAAGGCAGAUUGAGU
ensembl:lncRNA LGALS17A galectin 14 pseudogene